rnacentral:rRNA from 1 species
CCAAACAUCUAGCUCACCUCUCCCCCACCACCCACACACCACUAAAUAAAACAUUUUUAUUUUAUAGUAACGGAGAUUAAAAAAUUCCUAAACGCUUUAGAUAAAGUACCGCAGGGAAUGAUGAAAUAACAAUGAAAUAAUUUCAAGCCACUCAUAGCAAAGCCCACCCCUUGUACCUUUUGCAUCAUGGUCAAGCCAGUUCAACCAAACGAAAAGAUACCUUAAGUUUGUCCCCCCGAAACUGGGUGAGCUACUCAAGAAUAGUCUAUAGGACCAACCCGUCCCUGUUGCAAAAGGGUGGGAAAAUUCUUUAGUAGCAGUGAAAAGCUAAUCGGACCCAGAGAUAGCUGGUUGCCCAAGAAAAGAAUAUUAGUUCUACCUUAAGCUUAAACAUUAACCAAAACAAAAUAUUAAACUUAAGAGCUGCUCAAAUAAGGCACAGCUUAUUUGAUCUAGGACACAACCUCUUACACAGGGUAAAUUUAAAUGACCCAUAAGUGGGCCUAAAAUCAGCCUAAAGGGCGUUAAAGCCUUCCAACACCUUAUUAUUAAAUACCAUUUAUUUUAACCAACCCUUCAUCCCUAUUGGGCAACUCCAUACAUUUAUGGAAGAUAUCAUGCUUGAACUAGUAAUAAGAAUAAAAAUUCUCCUAGUACCAGCAUAUGCCAUAACGGAUAAACCAACGGCAUUUAACAUCAAUAAUACAUCUACAAUAACUUAAAAACCUGUAUAAUUAUGAUGUUAACCUUACACAAGAGUACUCAAGGAAAGAUUAAAAGGAGAGAAGGAACUCGGCAAAUUUAACCCCGCCUGUUACCAAAAACAUCGCCUCUUGUUUAAAUAUAAGAGGUCCAGCCUGCCCAGUGAUUAUUUUAACGGCCGCGGUACCCUAACCGUGCAAAGGUAGCACAAUUACUUGUCCUUUAAAUGGGGACUAGAAUGAAUGACACCACGAGGGUUACACUGUCUCCUUCUCCCAAUCAAUGAAACUGACCUCCCCGUGAAAAGGCGGGAAUCAAAAUAUUAGACGAGAAGACCCCAUGGAGCUUCAGACAUCGAGUAAACUAGGCACUCACCCCACUAAGCCCUAAAUUAUACCUCUAAGUCUUCGGUUGGGGCGACCAUGGAGUAAAACCCAACCUCCACGCCGAACGGACCUUUCCUUAUCUAAGAACUACACCUCUAAGAAACAGAAUACUGACGCCCACUGAUCCGGACUCCGAUCAACGAACCAAGUUACCCUGAGGAUACAGCGC